CCUCGCGCCCCCCACCACCCGGUAGCACCCGCAUUGCCGCCUUCGUACCUGCGUUUUCCCACGUCUGCUCCACCCGCGUCGCCGCCUUCGCUGCGACAUCGUCGGCCUCGCGGAGAAGAAGCCUCCUCCCUUGAUUUGUUUGGUUUGUGGAUAUGUGGAUUCGAGAGGAGGCCGUCGAUUUGUUUUUGGCCGACGACGGAGGCGGCGGCGGUGGCGUCUCUUCACUGCGAGCCCGGCGGAACUGGAGGACGAAGGAGGCGGCGGCGGAACUGGAGGACAGGGGAGGCCGAGAGAGAGUGUAUGUGAGUGUGUGAGUGCGUGUGUGUGAAUUGAAAUAACAUUAAACAUCUAAUUUUCUUAAUUCUACUUUUCUUAA